rnacentral:rRNA from 1 species
UACGGAGGAUCCGAGCGUUAUCCGGAUUUAUUGGGUUUAAAGGGAGCGUAGGCGGGUUGUUAAGUCAGUUGUGAAAGUUUGCGGCUCAACCGUAAAAUUGCAGUUGAAACUGGCAGUCUUGAGUACUGGAGAGGCAGACGGAAUUCCUAGUGUAGCGGUGAAAUGCGUAGAUAUUAGGAGGAACACCAGUGGCGAAGGCGGUCUGCUGGACAGCAACUGACGCUGAGGCGCGAAAGCGUGGGGAGCAAACAGG